GAGUAAGAUUUGAUCCAGAAGCAAUCUCAACAUGAAGAUUCUUUAUUUGCUCUUUGCAUUCUUUUUCCUUGUGUUCCUCUCUGAACCAGGGAAUGCUGGCCGCCUGUGUCUUGAUGAAGGAGGGAACUGUUAUCCCCAAUGUCCUCCUGACUACAUCUCACUUGGAAAAGUAGAUUGCAGGGGAUACUGCUGUAAAAAAAAAUAAUGCCAUAUCCAUCUACAGGCCUGGAUAUCUUCAACAUCUGGCCAAUGAUCUGGCAUCUCCACCUGCUAUUGCUUUAUCUUCUUUUAUAUAAAUUGCUGUCUAUCAGUCUCUAAAACAUUUGUGCAUUGAAUUUGGCAAAAAAACAAAAACAAA